rnacentral:rRNA from 1 species
AGUAACGCGUGGGUAACCUGCCUCAUACAGGGGGAUAACAGUUAGAAAUGACUGCUAAUACCGCAUAAGCGCACAAAACCGCAUGGUUUGGUGUGAAUAACUGAGGUGGUAUGAGAUGGACCUGCGUCUGAUUAGCUAGUUGGAGAGGUAACGGCUCACCAAGGCAACGAUCAGUAGCCGACCUGAGAGGGUGACCGGCCACAUUGGGACUGAGACACGGCCCAAACUCCUACGGGAGGCAGCAG